CCUGGAAAAGCAGAUGGGGAAAAAACAAGUGAGAACAGACUCAUACAGUAACGCACAGUGUUCAGAGAGAACUUCCAAGCAGCCAACAUCAAGGAACUGGAACCCAGCCAACGGCAGCGUCUCUUUGAUGGGAAUGGACUGUCAGCACCAAGAGGAAAUCCACAACUCCAUCAAUCCAGAGGGAAGGGCACGUGCUCCAUUCUCUCCCAAAGAAUCCCAACUGGGAGACUCUGAAGAACUUAACUCUUUGCAUACAGCCCUCUCCGCUGAUCACCUCUGGGCUCAUCCAAUAUGGUGUGCCAGUGACAGAGCGGAUGCCUGUUCCAGACAUACAGAUUGUCUGCAGCCGUUUGCUGGCCCCAAAGUCCCCAAGCUUCACAUUCCCAGCAGAGUCACGGAGAAUAUUGGCUCCUGGACAAGAAAGAAGAAAAAGAAUAGAGACAGCUGUUUUCAUGCAAUCCAGCUGUUGGAUUUGCAGCCUACAGAGCUAAUAUCUAACCCAGAAAUACCCAGGCUCAUGCUAUGGCUUUCUCCCUGUUAAGCCCCAGGUGACGUGCUAAACAUCAUUUCUUUAUUUCAGGCUGUAGACAAGCCAGCUGUUAAUGGCUAGAAAUGGGAAAAAACUUCAGGGGAAAAACAUAAGAAAGCGAAGGGUGAGGGGAAACGAAAGCUGAGUCAGCACUGUCAUUGUUACACUGCCUGUAAACAGUUCAGACAAACUAUACAGGGCCCCUAGGCCAAUGGCUUAGAUAGUACAUAGUUGUGAAGAAAAGGAUUUUAUUUGGAUACUGCUUUGGUGGAUAUACCCAGCUGACCAGAAAGCAAUAGUUAACAGAUGUAUCUAAUUAAACCACUUUGAACUCCUACAAUAAACAAGUCAAUCCCCA